rnacentral:rRNA from 1 species
CCUACGGGAGGCAGCAGUGAGGAAUAUUGGUCAAUGGCCGGAAGGCUGAACCAGCCAUGCCGCGUGAAGGUCAGUGCCCUAUGGGCGUUAAACUUCUUUUGUGCGGGAGCAAUAAUGGUCACGUGUGGCCAGACGAGAGUACCGUACGAAUAAGCAUCGGCUAACUCCGUGCCAGCAGCCGCGGUAAUACGGGGGAUGCAAGCGUUAUCCGGAUUUAUUGGGUUUAAAGGGAGCGUAGACGGCUGUGCAAGUCUGAAGUGAAAGCCCGUGGCUCAACCGCGGAACUGCUUUGGAAACUGUAUAGCUUGAGUACAGGAGAGGCAGGCGGAAUUCCUAGUGUAGCGGUGAAAUGCGGAGAUAUUAGGAGGAACACCAGUGGCGAAGGCGGCCUGCUGGACAGAAACUGACGUUGAGGCUCGAAAGCGUGGGGAGCAAACAGGAUUAGAUACCCGAGUAGUC